rnacentral:rRNA from 1 species
UACGUGGGGGGCUAGCGUUGUCCGGAUUUAUUGGGCGUAAAGAGCGUGUAGGCGGCCAUGUAGGUCCGGUGUGAAAACUCGAGGCUUAACCUCGAGAUGUCAUCGGAAACCAUUUGGCUAGAGUCCGGAAGAGGAGAGUGGAAUUCCGUGGUGUAGCGGUGGAAUGCGCAGAUAUCAGGAAGAACACCCGUGGCGAAGGCGGCUCUCUGGAACGCAACUGACGCUGAGACGCGAAAGCGUGGGGAGCAAACAGG